rnacentral:tRNA from 1 species
GCCGCCUUAGCUCAGUUGGCAGAGCGCAGCAUUCGUAAUGCUGAAGUCGUAGGUUCGAGUCCUACAGGCGGCACCA